AUUGAACGCUGGCGGCAUGCUUUACACAUGCAAGUCGAACGGUAACAGGCCGCAAGGUGCUGACGAGUGGCGAACGGGUGAGUAAUGCAUCGGAACGUGCCCAGUCGUGGGGGAUAACGCAGCGAAAGCUGCGCUAAUACCGCAUACGAUCUAUGGAUGAAAGCGGGGGACCGUAAGGCCUCGCGCGAUUGGAGCGGCCGAUGUCAGAUUAGGUAGUUGGUGGGGUAAAGGCUCACCAAGCCAACGAUCUGUAGCUGGUCUGAGAGGACGACCAGCCACACUGGGACUGAGACACGGCCCAGACUCCUACGGGAGGCGGCAGUGGGGAAUUUUGGACAAUGGGCGCAAGCCUGAUCCAGCAAUGCCGCGUGCAGGAAGAAGGCCUUCGGGUUGUAAACUGCUUUUGUACGGAACGAAACGGUCCUGGUUAAUACCUGGGGCUAAUGACGGUACCGUAAGAAUAAGCACCGGCUAACUACGUGCCAGCCGCCGCAGUAAAAC
rnacentral:rRNA from 1 species